AUGUGCGGCGGUGCAAUCCUCGCCGAGCUCAUACCGAGCGCGCCGCCCAGGAGCGUCACGGCGGUCCACCUCUUGCCCAAGCGGCCGAGGGUCGACGACUUCGAGGCUGCUUUCAAGCGCUUCGACGAGGACUCUGCGGAGGAGGAGGUGCUCCAGCGCGCGGGCUUCGAGUUUGGCGCCCACAGGCAGCCGGCAGCGAGGCGCGGUGGCAGUAGUCCGGCACAGUACAGGGGCGUCCGGCGCCGGCCGUGGGGCAAAUGGGCGGCAGAGAUCCGCGACCCCGUCAAGGGCGUCCGGGUCUGGCUCGGCACCUUCCCCUCCGCCGAGGCCGCCGCGCACGCCUACGACGACGCCGCCCGCGACUUCCGCGGCGCCAGCGCCAGGCUCAACUUCCCCUCUUCGUCCACGAGCGCACCCAAGCGCCACGUGGCCGCGAAGGCGACGCCGUGCCUUGUUAUUGACCUCGUCGACGACGAAGAGGGUGAUGCUGGAGCAGCGGAUGCCGGCGGGAUGAGUUCCGAAUCAAGCGGCGCCCUGCCGGACUUCUCGUGGCAGGGCAUGUCCGCGUCCGACGAGGUCAUGGCGCAAUAUGUCCAUGCUGAAGUGGAGUCCAGCCAGUCCGUCGUCGACCUGGCCAGCCCCAAGAAGCGGCCCCGGAUCGAAGCCGACGCGGUUCUGCCGGCAGCGUCCGACGACUCCGCCAACCAACUGUUAGAUCCUUUCAUGUUCGAUGACCAAUUCGGUUUCUUGGACAGCAGCUCGUACGAGUGGCUGGAUAGCCUGUUCGGCGCCGAUGCCGAGAAGAUCGACGACAGCCAGCUGGGGCUCUGGAGCUUUGGCGACGAUGACUGUCUCGCGAGGACAGCGCGCGCGUGCAAGUAG
rnacentral:rRNA from 1 species